AAUACCCUAAUAAUUGGAAGGUAUUUCCGUCCCUUUCUUAGUCGCCUCAAAUGGAUCCUGCCGCCCUUUGCCGCGGCACCGGCCCGGCGCCGCUCGUCAUCGACCUGAACGAGGUCAUCCCUCCCGCCGACUCCUCGCCCACAAGAUAUCCACUCCCGGUAAUCGAUAAGAUUCAAACGAUCUGAAGUUGGCCCGCACCUGUGCGGUUCCGGAGUCAUCAUCGACGCCAUUAGUUGAUGAGAUUUCUAAGACUACGAUCGACGAUGCAUCUUGCACGUGAUUUUCCAGUGUUAAGUGGUGUGGUUGUCUUUUUUAUUCUUCUUCUUCUUCUUAUUGCAUCUGGUUCUCCAUAAUGAUCACAUGAAACUCAGCAGCUCCUGGUUGUUCAUGCUUAAAAUCCUUGCUUUUGUAAGAUUAACAUAGCUGUGACCAAUUGCUCUAAAAUCACAUGCAAAAUUUUGGUUAAUACUGUUAUCUUUUGUGACUAUGAUGGGAUAACUAGCCUACGAACUUUAUUAAGCCUAUGAACUUUGGGCCUAUGAAUCUUCCAUUAAACUCAGCUGCUCCUGGUUGUUCAUGCUUAAAAUCCUUGCUUUUGGAAGAUUAACAUAGCUGUGACCAAUUGCUCUAAAAUCACAUGCAAAAUUUGCGUUAAUAUUGUUAUCUUUUGUGACUAUGAUUGGAUAACUAGCCUCCGAACUUUUGGGCCUGAAUCACUGGCCCAAAAGCUUAUAAGCUGAUUAUAGUACACCCAUCAAACUUUCCUCUUCUCAUACUUUGAUGCGGGACUAAACUUGGGGAUGUUACACAAAUGUAUGAGUCUAUUCUCUAUCUGAAAGCUUCCGUAUGUCUCUGUGUGAUCGAAAAUCUUCUCAGGAAAAAUAAGAUCUGUUUUAUUAUCAAUAUAUCUGAUACCACUUGUGCAUGAGGUUGUGAAACAGCAUAUAGGUUGCCUGAUAACUUUAAGUUUUAGGAAACUCUCUUCCUUUUUUUUCUGAUAAAUUAUUGAGUUUUGUGGAUUUUAUCAAAUUUCUAAUGUUCUAUUAGUGGUUUUGCAUCUUUAGAUAUGCUUGUAUGUCUACCUGACCAAUGUGUAGCUUACAGCUGCAAAGGCAUGAUUAUAUGUCACAGUAGUUACCAGAGACUCUUAAAUCUUGCUAGGAUUCUGUGGUUGGAGGUUGAUAUCAUGUUGUUGCUUUGAGAGGUCUUCUUAUUGGUCUCCUGGAUUUGGUUCAGAUUUCAAGUCCUGUAUAUGAUAAGUCACUUUCGUUGACCAUAAUGGUCCAAGUCUCUUAAUGCCUGUGAUAAACUUAACUCGGACAUUUUAGCUUUUCUGCAAUCAUAUUUCUUUUUUCUGGUCUUCCAGAUGGUUCAAGCAAUAACCCUGUUUGAGAGCAUGAUCAAAACUGAGUACCUGGAAAUGGGUGGUGGUACUGGUAGCUUUCAUAUUGCUGCAACAAAGGCAUCUGCGGUUUCUUCCCUUACUCUCUGCAUUUAUACUCUUGAUGAUUCUAUCAUCUACGGGAAGGGCCAGGUUCCUGAUUCAGAUCCCAUAGAGAAUCUGAAGUUGACAACCAAGUUAAGAAGAGAAAAUAUAUUUGAAGUAUAAUUGUAGAGAUAUUAUGCAUUAUGUUAAUGUGAGUUUUGGAUUGAUAGACGUGGCAGCUUGAUAAUUUGUUAUGGCUGUCAUCAAUAGUCAUUAUCUCAGAAGAUAUAAGCUGGAGAACUAAUGCAUUGCUAUUGCUGCACAGGCAUCGUGGAUAUACGUUUGAAUGUAAAACUGACAUCACUGACAUGAUCUUUGCCUCGUUCAGAACUGGAGAUCUAUUUAUGAUUUCUAUAUUUCAGGCAGACUCAGAGAAGGAUAAACUCUGAGGUGGUGCACUAGCUUCAAUUUGUAGCUCAGUGCAUGCAUUUUUCUGAGGAGGUUGACUCAGAGUGAUUUAUACAACAUACAAAUGCAUCCAAUAUAAUGUCUGAUGCUGCAUCUGAUUGAAGUUAAUUACGAUACUGACCAAUUGUUUCUAGACAUUUCUCUCUCUCACUAGUGCAUGCACACACAGCUGUCAGACAUAUCUUUCAUCCUUUCCAGCAUUUGUGAUGAUAUGGCUAUAGUUUAUGUUUAUGGAUAAGGUUGCAGUUCCUCUGUGUACAAAAACGGGCAAUUAGUUUCAUCUUUUAUUUUGUACCUUGCAUCAUAGGACAUGAGUAGCAGCUACUACUGCUGUUUUUGUUUUAGGUUUUUAUCAAAUAGUUAUGUUGAUAUAGCUUUUUUCUGUUGAGUGCCUAUUCUUUUCUACAUGGAUGUGCAGAUGUUGUCUUGGACUUUAGCAAAGAAAGUUUGGUUUUUCUACACAGUUGCUCCACUUAAAGUAGGCUGAUCAAGGAUACUUCCAAGCAUGUCAUAAGUUUUGCUACAGAAUAGUCUGCAACAAAUCUUAUUGUAAGGUGAUGAAACCAUUGCAAGCAACAUGCAACGCUGGUCCAAAAGGAGUGCUACUUGUUGAUGGAAGACUACUCUCUCUCUCUCUCUCCACUCUGGCGUUUCUGUAACAUGCAACGCUGGUCCAAAAGGAGUGCUGCUUGUUGAUGGGAGUCUUUUUUUUUUUCUCUCUCUAUCCACUGGAUCAGAAUCAUUUGAUCAACCCUCUCUAUAUCAUAUAAUUAAUUAAUUGCCGUCCGUCGGUCUUUGAGAUCUGUGCAGCCGAGGAAGAGGAUAGAGGGGUUCGAUGCCUACGGUGCACACGUGUCGAGCUGUCUUGGCCUGCACACGCCGCACGUCGAUACAAAACAGCUACUUGUAUCGGUUCGAUGGAUCCUCCUAUCCCUUUCGCUGCUGCAUCAUCUCGUGCCUUGUUGGCGCAAAACGAGACGUCUUCACAUGGCGCCAGUUGUCACGGGCGGCCUCUCCCUCUCCUCUCGCUCUCUCUCUCUCUCUCUCUGGGGCUCUCACCCCUGCAAUCUAGGGUUACUUGAUCUGUUCGGGUUUUUACCCUCCAUUGUAUUUUGAUUCCUUCCCUAACAAUUCCUGCCCCCAUUUCACAUCAACGUGCUCAUCAUGUCGCUGCUCCUUCCUGCCUCCAUCACGUAUCGCUUUCCUUGGCCCAAAAAGGUUGUAGGUUCCUUGUGUCAACGCUUUUCUCAUACGGGAAGAGUGGGAUGUAGUAUAGUUCUCUGAUAUCGUUUGUUUUUGUUGCUAUCCGUCUCUCUUGUCUGUAAAAGAACGAAAGCAAGAAAGAAAGGUGAUGUCUGGACGCAGCGGUUUAUCGAUCUUUUCCUGGCCUUGUUGGAUUUGGUUCUGAUCUGGUUGGGAGUUCGAGGGUGCAAAGCUGGAAUCGGUCGAUAAACCUCUGCAUCCGGUGUUUGUAACCUUUCACGCUCUUACUCGUUUCUAUAUAAAAAAUCCCCGGUUUUGUUUUCAGACUUCCUCAAUAACUUUUUAAGUAGGUGAGUCGUGACUUGAGAGAUCGGUGUAACGCGAGCUGUAGGCUUUAUUCUUGGAAAAUGUUUGUAUAAUGCUUCACUGCUUUUGGCUAAGGAAGCCUCUUUUUCUUCAGAAGUCUUUCAGUCUCUUAAAUAUGUAAGGCUAGUUUUGUUAGUGCUGUUUAUGUGAUGUGCAUUUUAGAUGGUGCUACUAUAUUUCUUCCAAAUGUUUUAGUUCUAUUUUAUGUUUUUGUUGCUGAGAUUUGUUGCCAAAAUAUGUUAUUUAUUGAAAUUUUCUUUUGGCACUCGGAGCUGCUUUUCUUUGUCAGAAUCAGGGAUCAGGGUUUGGCAUAUGCUUUGAGAUGUUUGAAGCGGAGGCUUUGAUGGAGAAACUAAAGUAGAAUCUGACUAAGUAUAUGUGACUGAAAGGAAUGGUUCCUUACAGACGUGAUUGAAAUAUGUUUCUUGUUUUGGGGGUUUAAGACUGACUACAUGAUUUUUCUUGUUCCCAUAACACCAAAACUAGUAUGUAAAUGCUUGAUCUAUAAAUUUUAGCUAAUAGAGGAUUCUCUGCAGUUUUCAUUAUCAAAAGUAGAGCACUUCAGAUAUCAAAUGUAAUAUCCGGUGUAUAUUUUUGGUAAGCGCAACAAAAACAUGAUCAGUAAAUUUCAGUUAUAGAUCAUUUAGUCCCCUGAUGCUGGGAACUAAAUGAGAAUGCAUGAUCUAUAAAUUUCAGUUAAUAAGGAUCCACUGUAGUCAUUUAUGUUUGCACUUUGUAAGUUUGAACUUAAGAUACUCAGAUAUUCCUGGUGAUAUUUUAUCGAACAAUCUUUAUUGAAGCAACGAGUCACCUAUAUUUUACACCCCCGCAAUAUUCUUUGAUAUAUAUUUCAUGUAUGUAGUUCUUGGCCAUGUAUUAUCGUGAAUAGUUUCAAACAUGUAUCCUUCAGCACAUUCUGCAUAAAUCAAUGGAAUUCUGUUUUUGUUUCUUGGCUGAAGUACAAUAAGUGCAUCGUUAUAAAUUACCGAAGUUCAACAUAAAAAUGUUGAUAUUGUAAGUAGACUAACAUUUAGGAAUACUUUGUGAAUUUUUGUUCUCUAACUAAUGUAAAUGUAACUGAAACGAUGCAUGUCUAGGUCAUAUUGCAGAAUAUAUUUUAUGACAUCCACAAAUUUCAUAAUAACUAGUUAAUGUAGUUUAGCAUGAAAGUUUUUUUCGUUUUUAUGUUUAGCAUGAAAGUUACUUCUAGGAUUUUCUAAGUUUUUUUCCCUUCUGGUUUAGAAGAGUGAGAAGUAUUUGUAGGCUUGCAUACCAUCAGAUUAUUUAGUUCUCGCAGAUUACUAAACACCAUGAUUGUCCACUAUUGUAACUGUUUCUUGUGUUUUUUGCUUUCUUUCCGUAUAAUCUACGGUGCUCGUCUGCUGGGCAUUUUAUUUCAGCUCAUCUGAAGCUUCAGAUCACCAUCUGCCAUGUCUGCCUGUGCUUUUGAUAUUUCCUUUUGGUGGUUUCACACAUCCUAAUUUGGCUAUAUGCCUUAUCUUGUUCAUGCUCUUCCCUCAGCUUAUCUGGAUAUUAAAGAAGUUGCUUUUAUACCAUUAAAGUCUGUUGUGGAAUGCUUCACUUGAUCUCUAUAAAAUGGUUCUUUUUUUAGGAGAAGUUUAUUAAUGCGCAAAAUCUGCUUUUGAGCUUAGUCACAGUGUAAGGUGCAGAUGAUGAUUUUAUUUCUCUGACUGGCCUAAUUAGUACACUGCUGUUGCAAUGUUUUGUUUGACUUCGUCCUUUAUGUUCUAUAAUCUGCACUCUAGUCUUGAUUUUUGGGCAUUUUCAUGGUUUUAAGCGUGUGGUUUCCAUGGGUGCAUGACGAAAUAUUCUUCCUCUGAACUUCAGGUUUUGAGCAUAAUUUGUUUCGGAACACUUGCUCUGGUUUUCUCGUCAUAUAUGCUCUUUUUCUUUUCAGUUUAUCUGUAUUCACUUUUUUCGUGUUGAGCUAUUGGAACCUAUCUAUUGCAAAACUACUAAAUUUUUAUUGGCUUAUGGUUUUGGCAUUACGACAUGCAAAACGUUUGCUUAUGUUUGUUUGAUCUCGGAAAAGAUCAAUGUGUAACGAGGAUACCAUGAGACAAUACAGUAAUACUUGCUAAAAUAUGCUCCUCGCAUUGGAAAUAUAGUAAUAAUUAGGUUGGAAAAAGGCAUCCUAGAACCUGAAUACUCAAAUUUGUAAGAGAGUUUUGGGUGAUUCUUUUGGUGUUCUAACGCUUGUUAUGUUCUGCCUCACAAGAUUCUUUACGAAAAUAUUCUUGAUCUUCUAUGUUCAUAUUUUAUCACCUUUCUGAAGCAAUUCAUGGUUUCAACCUAUCGUAUAAGAAUUUUUCCCUCACUGGGUGGAUAGCCUUAUUUAAUUUAAACGAUCGGCUUAUCGUUCUUCUGCGGCUAUGGACCUCUUUAUUUGUUUCAUGUAUUAUAAUGUCAUGUCCAUCACUAUCUAUUUCAUCAGGAAUUUUCAGCUUUAAUCUCGCCACAGAAUUUUGAGACACUUUCCAGUUUUGCUGUAUUGGUUGUUGUCACAUGAGAUGCAACGAAUGGCUGCAUCCGAGCUUCCUGGUGCUAUUUUUCUGAUUUCAUCCUUGGAUGCUCUUUGAGCAUGUCAGAAAACCUUGGCCGUGGACUUCUUUCAGUGAGGCAGGUUUUUCAUGUGCUUCAGCUUCAUUGUCAGAUGUGCUGACAUUUCUGAAACCACAAGGACUUUUUAUGUGAAAUUACAGCUGUUUUGUUUGGAAAGGGUUCCCUGCCACAGUGAUUAUUCGAUAAACAGCAGUCGCUCGUCUCUCGCUCAUUCACCAACUACUGAUCAUUAUGAAUCGGUCUCCUUUUCCUGUACAUUAUUUGUUUGCUUCUUCCCAUUUCAGUGAACCUACAAGUCCUGAGUAUAGUAAUUGCAGCACUGUUGUAUGAUUGUUCUGUUCUGGUGCAGUACACGAUCCAUUGGGGAAUUCACGUGCCCGAUGGAAAGAAACAUAAAGAUAUUUCAUAUUUUCUCUUUUGUGCAAACAGUGGACCGGCAUGCUUAACUCAUUCAUGGGAAGAGAAGAGGAUCCCAGACAUCGGCAAAGCACAAACAGUUUCUUGGCAGGGAAGAUCUAAUCAUUCGAUCAAGGCCAUAUAUGGUCAACUGUAACCAUGAUUCUUGAUGACAUGGCAAACUUGUUGCAUCGUAACACUCUUUAUGUUCAUGAUUGCGAUAAGUUAUCAA